rnacentral:rRNA from 1 species
UUCCCUACGGGACGCAGCAGUGGGGAAUAUUGCACAAUGGGGGAAACCCUGAUGCAGCGACGCCGCGUGAGUGAAGAAGUAUUUCGGUAUGUAAAGCUCUAUCAGCAGGGAAGAAAAUGACGGUACCUGACCAAGAAGCCCCGGCUAACUACGUGCCAGCAGCCGCGGUAAUACGUAGGGGGCAAGCGUUAUCCGGAUUUACUGGGUGUAAAGGGAGCGUAGACGGCUGAGCAAGUCAGAAGUGAAAGCCCGGGGC